GGAUUGAAGCUUGCUUCCAUUGCCGGCGACCGGCGCACGGGUGAGUAACACGUACCCCACCUUCCGUUUACUCGGGGAUAGCCUUUCGAAAGAAAGAUUAAUACCCGAUAGUAUGGUGAGAUUGCAUGAUAACACCAUUAAAGAUUCCUCGGUAAACGAUGGGGAUGCGUUCCCUUAGGUAGUAGGCGGGGUAACGGCCCACCUAGCCUACGAUGGAUAGGGGUUCUGAGAGGAAGGUCCCCCACAUUGGAACUGAGACACGGUCCCAACUCCUACGGGAGGCAGCAGUGAGGAAUAUUGGUCAAUGGGCGAGAGCCUGAACCCGGCAAGUAGCGUGAAGGAUGAAGGUCCUACGGAUUGUAAACUUCUUUUAUAAGGGAAUAAAACGCUCCCACGUGUGGAGCCCUUGUAUGUACCCUUAUGAAUAAGCAU
rnacentral:rRNA from 1 species